AGUGAGCCCCUGGGGUUAGGCCGGGCCUCAGGGCGAAGGGACGAGUAGUCCUGGGGGCUGGGGACCAACCUGUGAAUGAGCCCCCUCCCUCCCCGACUAGAGCGGGGCCUGCGUUUUGCUGUGACUGCGCCUGCUUUGAAGCGCUGCUCCCUUUCAGACGGAAAUUCCAGCGAGAGGCACUGUCUCGAGAACUCGCUCUACCCCACUCCACUCCCAGCACAAAGGCUGAAGGAACACCGGGCAGACGGCCAGGGGUGGAGGUCAGAAAAGGGGUGAAGAAGAGAGAAAAAAACAGGCCCAUUAAUUCUUUUUCAAGCCUGAUGCUGGGUUUGAUUCAAGUUCACUGCUAAUUCCCUCAUCAGCUGGGACAGAUGACGAAGAGAAGUCAAAAUCCUACACCUGCCUGGGCUUGGCGAUGGUUUCGGAACCACGGGGCCUGCUCCCUGCAAUGGCCUUGUUUCAGGAGGAAUGACCCCAGACGUUCCCAGAAAACAUCUGGCUGAAAAGCCGUUGUCCAGCACCGAAGACUUCCCGCUUGUCCUAAGCUGAGUUCCUUCUCCCCCUGUGGGGUCGCCCUGGGCACUCGUUCCAGCUGUCCUCACCCCUACACCUUUUCCUUUGCCGCCCGCCCCCCACCUGCCCCUUCCACCUCGUUCCUACCUGGUCCAGAUGUUCCCUUUCCCGGGAAGCCCUCCCCAGCCAGCUGUGAGAGCCAGAGGCCCCUCCACGUCUCCCUCCGGCGUCUGUUUCUUCUCUUAGGCUCCCUGAGAGCGGGAGUUGUAUCUUUACAUUUCACUUGCCUGGAGCACCUACCACGGUGCCCGAGACAAAUAAAAAUUUGUCAAAUGAA